AUGAAUAUCAACGUUUUCCAGUUGCUGUUAGUGGCGGCGUUUUGCGAAGUACCAAUGACAAACAGCCUCAAAAAACCCAGCCUCAAGAAAGAGAGUUCAAAAAAACUCAGCCUCAAAAGUUUCAUAAGUACUAAAAGUUUCAAAUUCCGGGAAAAUAUGUCCCACCGUGCGAAGUGGGAGUUGCCGAGCGCAAUGGAAAUUGAGUACGGAACAGUGAUUAAAAUGGCCGAAGACUCAUCUCUGCUGAUCGGUGUGCAUAAGAAAGGAAUGUUAGCAUUCAUAUCCAAGAAGGAACCAGGAAAGGAGUAUGGUGAGGUAAGGCUUAUGCGGUAAACUACACACUGAAAAAAAAGUAGCUUGGAUCAAGCAUGAUGAUUCUUGAAUUUGCCGCCAAGAAUUUUUUUUAUCUUGCUUGAAGCUGACUUUUUCUUGAUACAAGAAAAAUGAUGCUUGGGUUAAGCAAAAUAGUAGCUUAUAUUAACCAGAAAAAUUCUUGAUUUAAGAAGAAAUACUUCUUGGCGGCAAAUUUAAGAUUCCUUUUUUUCCAGUGCAGGCUUUUAACUCAAUAAAAUCAAGAGGUGGUUGGGAGGGUCAAGAGGGGGAGUGGGGGAGCUUGGAGGUGCAAAAAGAAGGCCCUUGGGUGGAGAAAAGCUUUCCUAAUUUCGCACAUCUCGGAGAAUAUUUCCUAAAAAAUUCACCGCAUUCCGUCAAAGUAUUUCGACGGUGUAGGUCGGCAAUCACUUGACUCGGUUUGCGGCGUCGAAGACUUCCUGUCAUACUUUAUUUUUUAAACGGAAAACUACUCAACGGCAAUUCUUUAAAACUGCCGUGAUUUGCGAAGAACAUUCUGCAUAAACUUCAAGAAAUGAUGUCAAUUUGUUAAUUCUCAUUUAAAAAAUAACGUAGAAGCGGAUAUUUUCAGACAGCGCAAACGAGAUAUGUGAUUGCGGACUUACGCCGUCGAUUUAGGGAUUCCUACGUGGGAAUCGUAUUCGACAGAUCUGUGGGCUAUUUCCAAUUCUUCGAAUUUUGCAUCUCCCAUACGCACAAAUUAGUGGGAGACUUUGACGGAGUUUAUCAGGAGGAACCAACCCACAUUUUAGAAAAAUUGCGUCGAGAAUGUUUUUGAGUUCUACUAGCCGUAUAUUUCCUCCUGCCGAACACUGAAAGUCGAGAAAAAGAAAUUAGUUUGUGAAGGGAGCGGAUAAGUUUAUUUUCUACAUCGAACCGUAUGCAGGAAUAAAACUUCAAAUCUCUUUUUCUCGAUUUUGACUUAAUUUGUAUUAUAUUAAUUAAUAAUAGUGGGUCGGUUCCUUUCUAACGAACUCAGUCCAAUUGGCCGUUUUUCAUGACAUUCAUUUGGUCUGGAAUUCCUAUGUUUUUCGAUUGCAAUAGCAUAUAUUUUGAUGAUCAGUCAGAAAAUCACACAGAAAUUCAUGGGGGAAUCUCUAAUAUUUUACUCGUUUGUUGUUUUUGAAGGAAAAAUUAUCGAUACUGCUUAAAAUCUAUCGGGGAUAUCUUUUGAAAGUUUGGGUAAAAAUGAAAGAAACUAUCGACAGACUCUUGCAGCCCCAAACAGGAAAUCGAAACAGUUGGUAUUCCCGUAUAAAACAUAAUGUAACAGGUAGUGUGUAACUUCACAACCCAGAGCACUUAAAUUUAAGCUCCAUAAGGUUUUUUCCGCGAGAAGAGAUCAAAAAUGUUCACGGUGACGAGAAAACACUCGCAGAACAAACCUUGGACAUUACGUCAAAAAAUACGCAAAAAAACUCCAAUCUGCGGGUUUUCAGUGCUCAUGAUGUUAUCGGUCGAAUAAAGCUUUAAAAAAAUACCUUUUCAUGCGCAUAUGUGACCUUCAACCGGAUUUUUCUUUCCAAAAUAUUUGUAGAACCCUCCACCAUGCUCUGGUGUCAGUACCUACUUCAAUUUUGAAGUAGGUAACGUGGGCUAAAGUCCCUUUUGGGGGGAGUGGAGGGAGUGUCCAAAAACCGUGAAAGGCGAUUGUUUACGUAAAUCGGAGCUUCCGUGAAAAUAGUUAAAUCUUAAUCGCAAAGUGAAGUCUUUUUGUAACUAAGACUAGAAUUUUAAGUUUAGCUCCAAUCUAUUAUGAGCCUUGUAAGGGUUACAACUAUUUCCUCUCUAUGAAUAAUGGUAAAUUAAAAUAUGUUUUCUUCGAUAUAGGAAAUAGGAGCUCAUUUACUUUUUCCUUCCAUCAUUGGUCUCAUACCAUUGAAUUCCAUAGGUAAUCUACAUCGAGAAAGAAAGAUUGAAUGAGAACCGAUACAAAUCAAGGAUUCUGGAUUUAUACUCGGAUAGCUCGGAUACAUCGCUUUGGAACAAAAACAAGGCAGUAGCUUUGAUCUCCAGAUUGGCGAAGAAAAAAUUGAAAGUUGGUUGGUUCUGUGACUCCAUCCAGUGGAUGCAAUACGUUACGACCGGCAAACCCCCGAGAUUCGCGUAUGGUUCACAAUGCCCUUUACACCGUGAUCUAACCGCUGAUAGGACAGUUACUGCCGCUAGCAUUGGAGAUCGAGGUUUCUUCUUGGAAAACCACUCCAGAUCCUUUAGAUAUCGUAAGUCUCGAGUUACUAAAUUUGUAGUGGACGACUUCGGUCGCCUGUAAGUGAAAGUUUCAUUUUGAUUUCUAAAAUAGUGAAUGGCUACAUCCUUUUUCUGAAGUGAAAACUUUCAAGCGCUCAGCUAAUGUCAAACGUUUUUCCCUCCAAUAAUCCAUCACUAAAUAAUAUGCGUGGAAGCCGUGUUGUAAUAAUGAAUCAGAUCUUUAACAAAAUGGCGAAAAAGAGCUUCACAGGUAUGGCCAUUUUUGUGACGGUUUUUCAUUGGUCGCGAUAAACAGCCUGAUUCGGUGCGCUUACGGUCGUAAGUAAAAAACAAGAUGGCGACUCCGCGGAACCAUUAAAUUUCCUCUAGAGGGGAUUAAUAAAAUAAGCAUUAAAAAUAUGAUAAAUAAUUUAAUUAUCUAAUACUAAAAAAUUUAGGACUAAUUUUGCGUCACAUCAAAAUGAUAAUUCGAAGAAUUCCA
rnacentral:lncRNA from 1 species